rnacentral:rRNA from 1 species
AACGGGUUGUAGCUGGCCUCUCGGGGCAUGUGCACACCUGGCUCAUCCACUCUUCAACCUCUGUGCACUUGUUGUAGGUCGGCAGAAGGGCGAGCCUUAAAACAGCUCGCUUGGAAGCCUUCCUAUGUUUUACCACAAACGCUUCAGUUUAAGAAUGUAACCUGCGUAUAACGCAACUAUAUACAACUUUCAGCAACGGAUCUCUUGGCUCUCGCAUCGAUGAAGAACGCAGCGAAAUGCGAUAAGUAAUGUGAAUUGCAGAAUUCAGUGAAUCAUCGAAUCUUUGAACGCACCUUGCGCUCCCUGGUAUUCCGGGGAGCAUGCCUGUUUGAGUGUCAUGGUAUCCUCAUCCUUCAUAACUUUUUGUUAUCGAAGGCAUGGACUUGGAGGUCGUGCUGGUUCCUCGUUGAAUCGGCUCCUCUUAAAUGUAUUAGCGUGAGUGUAACGGAUCGCUUCGGUGUGAUAAUUAUCUGCGCCGUGGUCGUGAAGUAACAUAAGCUUGCGCUUCUAACCGUCCUUAAGCUGGACAACAUAA